rnacentral:snoRNA from 15 species
CCCCAAUGAGGAAACAAAUCACAUAUCUUACCUCCUGUCCUAUCCACAGAACCUGAAAAGGUGAACCCACUGGGACUGGCUCGGGGAGGAGAGGAGAACUUGUUCCAGAAGGAAUUAUUUGAGGGGU